GGAAUGCGGGUGCUACCAUGCAGUCGACGAGAACGGAUUAUAGCUUGCUAUAAUUGUCAGCUAAGUGGCGCACGGGUGAGUAAUAUAUAGGUAACGUGCCUUCAAGAAGGGGAUAACAGAUGGAAACGCCUGCUAACACCCUAUAUGCCUUUAAUACAAAAGUAUGCAAGGGAAAUAUUUAUAGCUUGAAGAUCGGCCUGUACAGUAUCAGUUAGUUGGUGAGGUAAUGGCUCACCAAGACAAUGACGCUUAACUGGUUUGAGAGGAUGAUCAGUCACACUGGAACUGAGACACGGUCCAGACUCCUACGGGAGGCAGCAGUGGGGAAUAUUGCACAAUGGGGGAAACCCUGAUGCAGCAACGCCGCGUGGAGGAUGACACAUUUCGGUGCGUAAACUCCUUUUAUAUAGGAAGAUAAUGACGGUACUAUAUGAAUAAGCGCCGGCUAACUCCGUGCCAGCAGCCGCGGUAAUACGGAGGGCGCAAGCGUUACUCGGAAUCACUGGGCGUAAAGAGCGUGUAGGCGGAUAAAUAAGUCAGAAGUGAAAUCCAAUAGCUCAACUAUUGAACUGCUUUUGAAACUGUUUAUCUAGAGUAUGGGAGAGGUAGAUGGAAUUUCUGGUGUAGGGGUAAAAUCCGUAGAGAUCAGAAGGAAUACCGAUUGCGAAGGCGAUCUACUGGAACAUAACUGACGCUGAGACGCGAAAGCGUGGGGAGCAAACAGGAUUAGAUACCCUGGUAGUCCACGCCCUAAACGAUGUACACUAGUUGUUGCUAUGCUCGACAUAGCAGUAAUGCAGUUAACACAUUAAGUGUACCGCCUGGGGAGUACGGUCGCAAGAUUAAAACUCAAAGGAAUAGACGGGGACCCGCACAAGCGGUGGAGCAUGUGGUUUAAUUCGACGAUACGCGAAGAACCUUACCUGGUCUUGACAUAGUAAGAAGUCUUUAGAGAUAAAGAUGUGUCUGCUUGCAGAAACUUAUAUACAGGGUGCUGC
rnacentral:rRNA from 2 species